ACCCCAUGUCAAACCACCGCACAAGCCCCCGUAUGUUCCUAAACCACCUUAUUCCCCAAGCCCUAAACCGCCUUACGUGCCAAAACCACCUCAUACUCCAGUCCCUAGGCCACCAUAUUUCCCCAAACCACCUUACACACCAAGGCCUAAGCCACCAUAUGCGCCAAAACCACCUUAUACGCCAACCCCUAAGCCACCAUAUUUCCCCAAACCACCUUACACACCAAGGCCGAAGCCACCAUAUGUGCCAAAACCACCUUAUACGCCAGCCCCUAAGCCACCAUAUUUUCCCAAACCACCUUACACACCAAGGCCUAAGCCACCAUAUGCACCAAAACCACCUUAUACGCCAACACCUAAGCCACCAUAUUUCCCCAAACCACCUUACACACCAAGGCCUAAGCCACCGUACGUGCCAAAACCACCGUACACACCAAGGCCUAAGCCACCGUACGUGCCAAAACCACCAUACACACCAACCCCUAAGCCACCGUACGUGCCAAAACCACCUUACACCCCAACCCCUAAGCCACCGUACGUGCCAAAACCACCGUAUACCCCAACUCCUAAGCCACCGUACGUCCCAUCGCCACCUUAUACCCCUCGCCCUAAACCACCGUAUGUACCAUCACCACCUUAUACCCCUAGCCCUAAACCACCGUAUGUGCCAUCACCACCAUAUACCCCAAGCCCUACCCCACCAUAUGUACCAUCACCACCGUAUACCCCAAGCCCACCAUAUGUACCAUCACCACCGUAUACCCCAAGCCCUAGCCCACCACCACCACCAAGUGGAACACCGUGUCCUCCGCCGCCGCCACC
rnacentral:lncRNA from 1 species